AGAAACUAACAAGGAUUCCCCUAGUAACGGCGAGUGAAGCGGGAAGAGCUCAAAUUUGAAAUCUGGUGGCCUCAGGUCAUCCGAGUUGUAAUCUAUAGAAGUGUUUUCCGUGCUGGCUCAUGUACAAGUCCCUUGGAACAGGGCGUCAUAGAGGGUGAGAAUCCCGUCCUUGACAUGAACUACCAGUGCUCUGUGAUACAUUUUCAACGAGUCGAGUUGUUUGGGAAUGCAGCUCAAAAUGGGUGGUAAAUUCCAUCUAAAGCUAAAUAUUGGCGAGAGACCGAUAGCGAACAAGUACCGUGAGGGAAAGAUGAAAAGCACUUUGGAAAGAGAGUUAAACAGUAUGUGAAAUUGUUGAAAGGGAAACGAUUGAAGUCAGUCGUGCUCUUUGGAUUCAGCCGGUUCUGCCGGUGUACUUCCUUUGAGUGGGGUCAACAUCAGUUUUGAUCGCUGGAUAAAGGCUGGAGGAACGUAGUACCCUCGGGUAAACUUAUAGCCUCCUGUCACAUACAGUGGUUGGGACUGAGGAACGCAGCACGCCUUUAUGGCCGGGAUUCGUCCACGUACGUGCUUA
rnacentral:rRNA from 1 species